GCUGUGCCACCUGGCCCCGGAGAUCAUUCGCCAGCUGUCCCCCGACACAGAAGAGGACAAGCUCCCUUUCUCCAAGCACUCGGAUGUCUUUGCUCUUGGCACCAUCUGGUACGAGCUCCACGCCAGGGAGUGGCCGUUCAAGACCCAACCAGCAGAGGCAAUAAUUUGGCAGAUGGGUGCAGGCAUGAAACCCAAUCUCAGCCAGAUUGGCAUGGGAAAAGAAAUCUCGGACAUACUUCUCUUCUGCUGGGCCUUUGAGCAGGAAGAACGGCCCACCUUCACCAAGCUCAUGGACAUGCUAGAGAAACUGCCAAAGCGAAACCGCCGCCUGUCGCACCCCGGACAUUUCUGGAAGUCUGCAGAGCUGUGACCAUGGACACGGGCCAGCAUAAGCUGCCUCGCCCCCAAACCGCCUCUUCCUCCCUGCUCUGCCUCCUGCUAUCGAAGGAGGCCCAGGCUCACCACCAAGGGGGUCCCAAAACAGCUCAGCCUGGGAGACCUGUGAUGACACCGCCGAGGCUUCCCACACCUUGGACGUACACCCCUUUACUCAGGCAGGAUCAGGGACCACUGAGCUAGGAUCAGACUGAACCAGGGAGGGUCCAGC